UACAGAGGGUGCAAGCGUUAAUCGGAAUUACUGGGCGUAAAGCGCGCGUAGGCGGCUUGACAAGUCGAGUGUGAAAUCCCCGGGCUUAACCUGGGACCUGCAUUCGAAACUGUCUUGCUAGAGUAUGGGAGAGGGAAGUGGAAUUUCAGGUGUAGCGGUGAAAUGCGUAGAUAUCUGAAGGAACAUCAGUGGCGAAAGCGGCUCUCUGGACCAGCACUGACACUGAGGCACGAAAGCGUGGGGAGCAAACAGG
rnacentral:rRNA from 1 species